rnacentral:rRNA from 1 species
ACUCCUACGGGAGGCAGCAGUCGAGAAUAGUCUACAAUGGNCGAAAGNCUGAUAGUGCGACGCCGCGUGAACGAAGAAGCCCUUCGGGGUGUAAAGUUCUUUUAUAUGUGAGCANUGNNUUNUAUGUGAANAGCAUNNGNNNAGAGAUAUUAGCAUAUGAAUAAGCAACGGCUAACUCCGUGCCAGCAGCCGCGGUAACACGGGGGUUGCNAGCGUUGUCCGGAAUUACUAGGCGUAAAGGGCAGGNAGGCGGAUNUAUAAGUUUUNUGUUNAAGGCAACGGCUCACCCGUUGUAAGGCANGAGAUACUGUAGAUCUGGAAUGCGGUUGGGGAAGACAGAAUUCCUGGUGUAGCGGUGGAAUGCGCAGAGAUCAGGAGGAAUACCGAAGGCGAAGGCAGUCUUCNAAGCCGUAAUUGACGCUNAACUGCGAAGGUGUGGGUAUCAAACAGGAUUAGAUACCCUGGUAGUC